ACAGGAAGAAACACUCGGACGUGUCCGAGCUUGACGGUACUGUAAGAAUAAGCACCGGCUAACUCCGUGCCAGCAGCCGCGGUAAUACGGAGGGGUGCAAGCGUUAUCCGGAAUCAUUGGGGUUUAAAGGGGUCCGCAGGCGGUCAAUUAAGUCAGAGGUGAAAUCCCAUAGCUUAACUAUGGAACUGCCUUUGAUACUGGUUGACUUGAGUUAUACGGAAGUAGAUAGAAUGUGUAGUGUAGCGGUGAAAUGCAUAGAUAUUACACAGAAUACCGAUUGCGAAGGCAGUCUACUACGUAUAUACUGACGCUCAUGGACGAAAGCGUGGGGAGCGAACAGGAUUAGAUACCCUGGUAG
rnacentral:rRNA from 1 species